rnacentral:rRNA from 1 species
GAGAGAUACUCAGAGUUUGAUCCUGGCUCAGGAUUAACGCUGGCGGCAUGCCUAAUACAUGCAAAUCGAACGAAGCCUUUUUGGCUUAGUGGUGAACGGGUGAGUAACGCGUAUCCAAUCUACCCUUAAGUUUGGGAUAACUAGUCGAAAGAUUAGCUAAUACCGGAUAAUAACAUUUACUUGCAUGAGUGAAUGUAGAAAGUUGCGUUUGCAACGCUUUUGGAUGAGGGUGCGACGUAUCAGAUAGUUGGUGAGGUAACGGCUCACCAAGUCAUUGACGCGUAGCUGUACUGAGAGGUAGAACAGCCACAAUGGGACUGAGACACGGCCCAU